rnacentral:lncRNA from 1 species
GGAAACAUAAUCAACUCAUUUGGAAUUGGGGUUAAAAAGAUAGAGGCACUCAAACUUGUGAUCAAAUCUGAUUUUUAAAUCAAAUACAAAAAUUAAAACGCUUCUUUAAGAAUACGUUUCAGAAAAGGGAAAACGUAUGAGAGGCUAAAGGAUCCUUCCAAAAACAAAAGCGCACUCCGAAGAAUAUGCAGACUCCAAGGGAAAAUGCACUCCACGCGAGGUGUCAGCGGUGGAGGAGACUGGCUCACCGACAUGUGGGACCCACCUAUCGGGUUUAUCUCUCACCUCACGCGCGCUUGCACACGUAGCAGGGAGGGGCUUUGGCGAUGAUUGUCGGCACUGGGGUGCAUCGUCCUUGGAGCUAUACACACCGGCGUGCUCAUGGGGAUCGACCGCAUCUCAUGGAGCUGGGAAGGAUCAUAGGGAAGCUCAAGGCUGAGCAAGACCCUGGUCAUGGCGAACGGUGGCGUUGGGAGGAAGA